rfam:Wallemia sebi CBS 633.66 unplaced genomic scaffold WALSEscaffold_4, whole genome shotgun sequence.
GUGGAUGUGGUGUAGCGGUAUACAUUAUUCGUUGUGGACUCGCAUCGAAUCCGAAUAGCCCCAGGUUCGACUCCUGGCAUCCACA